UGCCAGACUCCUACGGGAGGCAGCAGUGAGGAAUAUUGGUCAAUGGGCGGAAGCCUGAACCAGCCAAGUCGCGUGAGGGAAUAAGGCCCUACGGGUCGUAAACCUCUUUUGCCGGGGAGCAAGGGCGGGGACGUGUCCCGGCCCGGAGAGUACCCGGAGAAAAAGCAUCGGCUAACUCCGUGCCAGCAGCCGCGGUAAUACGGAGGAUGCGAGCGUUAUCCGGAUUUAUUGGGUUUAAAGGGAGCGUAGGCCGGUCUUUAAGCGUGCCGUGAAAUUUUGUGGCUCAACCAUGAGAGUGCGGCGCGAACUGGAGACCUUGAGUGCGCGGAAGGCAGGCGGAAUUCGUGGUGUAGCGGUGAAAUGCUUAGAUAUCACGAAGAACCCCGAUUGCGAAGGCAGCCUGCCGCAGCGUUACUGACGCUGAAGCUCGAAAGCGCGGGUAUCGAACAGGAUUAGAUACCCCCGUAG
rnacentral:rRNA from 1 species